UACAGGGGGGGCAAGCGUUGUUCGGAAUUACUGGGCGUAAAGGGCCAGUAGGUGGCCAACUAAGUCCGACGUGAAAUCCCCAGGCUUAACCUGGGAACUGCGUCGGAUACUGGAUGGCUUGAAUCCGGGAGAGGGAUGCAGAAUUCCAGGUGUAGCGGUGAAAUGCGUAGAUAUCUGGAGGAAUACCGGUGGCGAAGGCGGCAUCCUGGACCGGCAUUGACGCUGAAGCGCGAAAGCUAGGGGAGCAAACGGG
rnacentral:rRNA from 1 species